UCGAGGACCCGGAAAAAUGUUUACGAAAAGCGAUGACAAACAUUUAAAACAAAUUGACAAAACAAAAUACCAGAUUUGCGAACAAUAACUGUAAUUCAACGGAAAACUUAAUUAAAACAAUAUACUUAAAAUUAAGAAAAAAUAAAAAAGUUAUUGCUCUUUGGACGUGUCACUUGCAGGUGACAGGCUAUUCAACUAAUGUGUAUAAGGAACGAGUGAAUCCUGAAAUGUCUUCGAAACAGUUUCAUUUGAAUUUUCGCUUGUCGAAAGCGGACAUCCCAUACAAUUUUCUAUAUGGAGCGUCACUUAUUUUUCACACGUGCAAGCUGGCAUGUCACUGCGGAAUCACAAGCUAAAUACACUGUGUAACUGCUAUACCAAGUUCAAGCAAGCCACCGUAAUGAUUCAGGAAAACCACAUGAACAUUGUAAUUAAAGAGUCAAUAAAUUUAAUUAAAAGAGACACAGGUUGGACAAUCUAUAGCUCUUGAGUUAGAGGAGCACCUCUUUUACAUGCCGGAAAAGUACACCUCUCUUUAGGAUGAUAUCAUCAAUGAAACGAUGGAUGGAAAAUUCAAUUUUUGUAAAAACAAUGCCAAUUUGUAUCAGAAAUAAGUCAAAGUUCCUAAGAAAAAAUCAUAAAUAUAUUUUUAUAAUA